rnacentral:lncRNA from 1 species
GUUUUAAUAGGGAAAGGAAAUUUGGAGAUGGAGGGGCAGAAACACCUGAAGUCCAGGAUGCAAGGACUGAAAGGCUCCUUCUCUCUCCCACUGGUCUUCAACUCCAGAUUAGCCCCUGAUCCUUCCCUGGUGGUCUAUGCCAUUUUUCCCAGUGGAGGUGUCAUAGCGGACAAAACCCAGUUCUCUGUGGAGAUGUGCUUUGACAAUCAGGUUUCCCUUGACUUCUCACCUUCCCAGCAGCUUCCAGGAGCAGAUGUGGACCUCCAGCUGCGGGCAGCCCCUGGGUCCCUGUGUGCAGUCCGGGCCGUGGAUGAGAGUGUCUUGCUGCUUAGACCAGAGAGCGAACUGAGCAAUCGUUCGGUCUAUGGGAUGUUCCCAUUCUGGUACAAUCACUACCCUUAUCAGGUGGCUGAAUACGACGAGUGUCCAGGGUUUGAUCACUGGAACGUUCCGCAGCCCCUUAUUAAGCCCGCGCUUGAGGAGCGUUGGAACAACCAUCUUGGCGUGUGGAGGCCUCGGCUCUCUGAAAAAAUAGACGUUUUCAGUUUUUUCCAGAAUGUGGGCCUGAAAAUACUGUCCAAUGCCAAAAUCAAGAGGCCAAUAGAUUGCAGUCACCAGAAUUUAAGACACAGAGUUACGAUAGCUGCAGUGAAUGAUGUUAGUCCAACGGCUCUCAAGCUAACUCCAUCAGUUCGGCUGGAAGAGGUUCGCCAGCUGGAAUCUCAGGUUCGCCAGUACUUUCCAGAGACUUGGCUGUGGGAUCUGUUUCCUGUUGGCUACUCAGGACAGGAGUCUGUCCACAUCACCAUUCCUGACACCAUCACCACGUGGAAGGCCAUGACUUUCUGCACCUCCCAGUCCAAGGGUUUUGGCCUCUCACCCACUGUUGGAGUGACUGCCUUCAAGCCGUUCUUUGUUGAUCUGACGCUCCCUUACUCAGUGGUUCGUGGUGAAUCCUUCCGUCUGACUGCCACCAUCUUCAAUUACCUGAAGAAGUGCAUCAGGGUUCAGACUAGCCUAGCUAAGUCAGAGGAGUACCGAGUGGAAAAGCAGACAGACCCUCAGGCCUCCACCUGUCUGUGUGCUGACGAAGCAAAAUCCUAUCACUGGAACAUCACGGCUGUCAAACUGGGUCAUGUAAACUUCACUAUCAGCACAAAGAUUCUGAACAGCAAUGAACUCUGUGGGGGCCAGAAGGCGUUUGUUCCCCUAGAGGGUGGGAGUGACACACUCAUCAAACCAGUUCUGGUCAAGCCGGAAGGAGUCCUUGUGGAGAAGACACACAGCUCACUGCUGUGCCCAAGAGGAAAAGUGGCUUCAGAAUCCAUCUCCCUGGAGGUCCCUGAGGAUGUUGUUCCUGAUUCAGCCAAGGCUUAUGUCACUGUUCUGGGAGACGUCAUGGGCACAGCCCUGCAGAACCUGGACAACCUGGUGCAGAUGCCAAGUGGCUGUGGGGAGCAGAACAUGGUCUUGUUCGCGCCUAUCAUUUAUGUCCUGCAGUACCUGGAGAAGACAGAGCUGCUGACGGAGGAAAUCUGGUCUCGAGCAGUGGGCUUCCUGAAGCUGGGGUACCAGAGGGAACUGAUGUACAAACACAGAAAUGGCUCCUACAGCGCCUUUGGGGAGCAAGAUGGAAAUGGAAACACAUGGCUGACAGCCUUUGUCACCAAAUGCUUUGCCCAGGCUCAGCAAUUCAUCUUCAUUGACGACAAGAACAUCCAGGAUGCUCUUGAGUGGAUGGCAGGAAACCAGCUCUCCAGUGGCUGCUACGACAACGUGGGAAAUCUCCUUCACACAGCUAUGAAGGGUGGAGUUGAUGAUGAGGUCUCCUUGACUGCCUACAUCACGGCUGCAUUGUUGGAGAUGGGCAAGACCACAGAUGAUCCAAUGGUGAGUCAGGGGCUGCAGUGUCUCAAGAGUUCCGUUUCCUCUACCACCAACCUGUACACACAGGCCCUCCUUGCUUAUACAUUCUCUCUGGCUGGGGACACAGACAUCAGAAACAUUCUUCUUGGAAAGCUAGAUCAACAGGCUAUUGUCUCAGGAGAAUCCAUUCACUGGAGCCAGAAACCUGCUCCGACUUCAGAUGCCAGCCCUUGGUCUCAGCCUGAGGCUGUCGAUGUGGAACUCACAGCCUAUGUAUUAUUGACCUUGCUUAGCAAAGACGACCUGACUCAAAAGGAGCUAGUCAAGGCCACCAGCAUAGUGGCUUGGUUGAGCAAGCAGCAAAAUGCAUAUGGGGGUUUCUCUUCCACUCAGGACACCGUGGUGGCACUCCAAGCUCUUGCCAAGUAUGCCGCCACUGCCUACGUGCAGUCAAAGGAAGUCAACGUGGCAGUGAAAUCCGCUCAGAAUUUCCAGCACACCUUCAAUGUUCAAGCUGCCAACCGUCUGGUGUUUCAGCAGAAGAUGUUGCCCCAUAUCCCUGGGGUGUACACCUUGGAGGCCUCAGGCGAGGGCUGUGUUUAUGCGCAGAUAGUGCUGAGAUAUAAUAUCCUCCGUCCGAUAAGUGUGAAGGCCUUUAGUCUUAGUGUGAAAACAAGGAACACUCAGUGUAAGCAACAUACUUCACUUGGAUCCUUGGUGCUAACGAUCCAAACCAGUUAUGUGGGGAGUCGCAGCUCUUCCAAUAUGGCUAUUGUGGAGGUCAAAAUGCUUUCUGGAUUCAGUCCUGUGGAGGGCACCAAUCAGUUACUUCUCCAGCAACCACUGGUGAAGAAGGUUGAAUCUGAAAUUGACACACUCAACAUCUACUUGGAAGAGCUCGGGAAGGAAACUCAGACCUAUACCUUCACCAUCAGCCAAAGUGUGUUGGUCACUAACCUCAAACCAGCAACCAUCAAAGUCUAUGAUUACUACCUGCCAGAUGAACAGGCAACAAUUCAGUAUUCUGAUUCCUGUGAAUGAG